GCCUCCAUAGCUCAGCGGAUAGAGCACCGGAUUACGGAUCCGGGUGUCCGAGGUUCGAAUCCUCGUGGAGGCA
rnacentral:tRNA from 1 species